UACGUAGGGUGCAAGCGUUGUCCGGAAUUAUUGGGCGUAAAGAGCUCGUAGGCGGUGUGUCGCGUCGGCCGUGAAACCUGCAGCUUAACUGUGGGCGUGCGGUCGAUACGGGCAUCACUGGAGUUCGGCAGGGGAGACUGGGAAUUCCUGGUGAUAGCGGUGAAAUGCGCAGAUAUCAGGAGGAACACCGGUGGGCGAAGGCGGGUCCUCUGGGCCGAUACUGACGCUGGAG
rnacentral:rRNA from 1 species